rnacentral:rRNA from 1 species
CCUACGGGUGGCAGCAGUGAGGAAUAUUGGUCAAUGGGCUUACGCCUGAACCAGCCAAGUCGCGUGAGGGAAGACUGCCCUAUGGGUUGUAAACCUCUUUUGUCAGGGAGCAAUUGGCGCUACGUGUAGCGUUAUCGAGAGUACCUGAAGAAAAAGCAUCGGGUAACUCCGUGCCAGCAGCCGCUGUAAUACGGAGGAUGCGAGCGUUAUCCGGAUUUAUUGGGUUUAAAGGGUGCUGAUGAGGAAUGACAAGCCAUGGGUAAAUCGCGUGGCUCAACCUCGCUCCGCCGUUGAACCUGGCGUUGUUGAGUGGGCUAGAAGUAUGCGGAAUGCGUGGUGUAGAGGUGAAAUGCAUAGAUAUCACGCAGAACUCCGAUUGCGAAGGCAGCAUACCGGCGCCCAACUGACGCUGAAGCACGAAAGCGUGGGUAUCGAACAGGAUUAGAUACCCGAGUAGUC